AGAAUCAACGCUGGCGGCGUGCCUAACACAUGCAAGUCGAACGCGAAAGUCCCGAAAGGGGCAAGUAGAGUGGCAAACGGGUGAGUAACGCGUGGGUGACCUGCCUUCGAGCGGGGGAUAACGUUUCGAAAGGAACGCUAAUACCGCAUAACAUCCUGCCUUUGAAUAGGUGGAGAUCAAAGCUGGGAUUCGCAAGAACCCGGCACUUGAAGAGGGCCGCGUCUGAUUAGCUAGUUGGUGAGGUAACGGCUCACCAAGGCAACGAUCAGUA
rnacentral:rRNA from 1 species